GCGGUUUCAUGACCAUCUUCUCCUCCGAGUGCUUUUCCAAAGGGAAGGAUUUACUUUGAAGAGAAAGAAGCGCCAACUGGAGCCAGAGAGCGUCUUGUCCUGGGACGGGCGAGGCUUGGGCCAAGCCGGGUGCUGGCGGUGAGUGACUUCUGGGCUGCAUAAAGCGCAAUCUUUUUUGUUUUGUUUUCCCCUACCGAGAGGCGAUGCAUGUGAAUCUUGAGCAGAGUUCUGCUAUCAAAGCUUGCGAUUGUCAAACGCUGCACACCCUGUAACUUGAAGAUCUCUCAUUUCCAGAAAUGUAGAUCUCUCUUUGUAUUAACUAGCCUGGCCAGAGUUAUAAUUCUACCCCUUCGAAGAGGUGCCAGUGAAGAACUUUGCCUGUGUAGUUCGCCUCUUUCCUGCAAACUAUUUUCUGUUCUUUAAAUGACUAAAUAUAGUUCUGUUCGGAUGACCUAAUUUGUUGGGCGAUAUAGGGAGAAGCCUCUUUUUUGGUAACUGUUUAGCAGUACAGUUAUUCGUGAGCAAUAAGAAUUUAUGCAGCAUACUUAGGAAUGCUCCCCCCCUCCCCCGCGUCGGUUCUGUGUUUACUCAGAAGCAUGUCCCAUUGUACUAAGUGCGGUUUGUUUCCAAGCUAAAUUUGUACAGAACUGCAGCCUCAGUUGAUCAUAGUAUAUUUCACAUGCCUGACCUUUAUGCUUGGACUCUUCUCUGGCUGCUUUUGGAGAUUCCUUUCAAGAAUAUACUUUUUUUUUUUUUAAAGGAAAAUGCAUACACCUCUCUUUUCUAAAAGAUCAUUGGCUCAAAAACCGAAAGCCUCAGAACUGAAGCUAUUGGCCUGAAAGGUACAUAAUAAAGAGCUGGAAACAAAAACAAAAAGCUGCUUCACAGCAGGGGAAGAUGAAGGAAAUGAAUGAAUAGCAAGCUUAUACCGCAGUAGCAUGCACGUUUACUCAGAAAUAAGUCUCACUUUGUUCAAUGGGACUUGCUCCCAAGUAAGUGGUUCUAGGGUUGCAGCCUUAACGAAUAUUUUUUUUUUGUGUACACAAAGAACAACUAGCAUACAGAAUGUAAUGUCCUGACUGAAAAUCUGGUCUCUAGCUAGGUAUGAAACAGAUUUCAUGUGGAAAAACCCAGUCAGUAGUUAAGCCAAUUCAUAUAAGCAACAUAAGGCUGAUCUACCAGAUUGAUUCUGUGUUGUGUAGUGUUGGGUUUGUCCGGAAUCUGGCACUGUGGACUUGGCUAAGUGAAAAUAUGAAUAGUUGGAAAGUGGAUUACCCCAUCUUUGCCCAAUUUCUUGUAGGAGUUUACAGCCGAAGCCUCUGUUCUUCUGCUCUUAAAGCAAGCCCCUGUCAGUCUUAUUCUCAGGCAAGUAUGCAUAGGAUUGCAGCCUUAAGAAAGUAACUGAUACUGGUCAUUGUUAAGAGUUCAGAAGGUGUAUCUGUGCUUGACAAUGUCAAAACAAGACAAGAAUAGUUUUUCAGUGCAUCAGAUGGAAUGGACUCUCAUCCUCAGAAGCUUUUGUCACAGUAAACUUUUCAGCCUUUUUAAGGAGCUACUUCUUUUGUGUCACGCACAAAGUAAUAGACUAAUAUGGUUAUCCCUCUGAGGGUCGAAAUGUGAAAUGGAUGAGGUAAAAUAACCUUGUGAUGAACUGCUUCUCUCAGAAAGUUGCAUGUGACUUGACUCUUUGGCAUGUAGCCAUGUGACAGCAUUGCCACACAUCUCGCUUGCAACAUUUAGGGCUUCUUUACACGUGAUUUUCCUUGUACGUGGGGGGGCGGGGGGAAUUAGCACAAUGUGUUAUGCCUAUUCUAUGCAUUUGCGUCUCCUGCAGUGGCGUGCAUGGAAACUGUUGCCCCUUUGUCACAACAACGCUUCAGCCACAUUGCAAGUGUAGCUGUAAACUUGAGCCUGUAAGAGGGGAAACUGUUUGACUACAUACGCCGCAUCACGGGCAUAGCCAGGAUUUUUUGGGGGGGGGGGCAGAAUCAAGUUAUCUGCGACACAAUAUUUUAUUUAUUUACAUCGUUUAGGGGGGCAGCUGCCCUCCCUGCACCCCCAUUCACCACAUGCCAUGUUUCUGCCCGGAUUCACUGCUUCCAUAUUCUCAGCCGCAUUAGUUCAGAAUGCAAAUUGUUGCUAGCCCAUUUUGUCACAGGACUAAAAGGCACUUUUGAAACUCGUAUUUGUGCCUUGCAUGAAUGCCUCUGAUGCAUGGUGGAAUAUAGAAGAGAUAUGGAAUGUUUGCAAGCAUGUUUCCUUUUGUGCAGACAGGCGAGGAGGGCUGGUGAAAAGACGAGAGAGGAGAUGGAUGGGAGGAACUAUAGCCACCUCAUCAAACUUGCAGACAGUUAUUGGACCAGUCACUAUCCUUAGUUCCACAGUAGCCACUGGUACCCUCCAGCUCCACUCCCAUCAGCUAGCAUGGCCAAUAGCUGGGAAUGAUAGAAGUUGCUGUCAGCAACAUCUGGAGGGCACCAUGUUGCUUACCCUUGUUUUGGAUUAAUCUUUCUCACGCAACUAUUGUAAAGUGAAGGAAUGGAUUUGGAAGAAUGGCAUAGUAUAAGUAAAUGAACUUUUAAACCAAGGCUUAUUCAUAAUUUUAAAUGCAUUGCCUGUUUGUGGCUGGGUUUUUUGUGUUGUUUUUUGUCUAGGAGUCGACAUCACUUUCACAAGAAAGUAAAAGUAUUAUUUUGUGGUGGGGAGAGAUUUCUCUGCAGUGAUGUGGAAUGCCCUCCGCUAAGUGGAGCAACCUGAGCCAACACUGAUUUAGUCCAAGGUUUUAAGACGUAUUUAUUUGCUCUGAAUAGUCUGGAUUGUUUAACCUGCUCUGCGAUUGGCAGAUUUUAGCUGCCUUAAUUUGCUGUUGCUACAUUUAGUAACUCUGCUGUAUGGUUGCCUUAUUUGUUAACUUAGUAUCCAUUGAGAGGAAUGUGGGUAUAAGUAUUUUCAAUAAAUAAAAUGCAAAGACUGGAGGAUCAGAAGAUACAUAUAUCAAGUUGUUUGUAUGCCACGUUGCCACAGUUUAUCCAUGUUCAAGGUGGCUUACAACAUGAAAAUAAUAAUAAUAACUACAACAUAACAAAAGCAGUCAUAAUCAGUAAACCAAACAUCAAAAGUACGCAGACAAACUGAACAAUUUCCACAUAACUCACAACAAGAUCU